UUCCGACUUAGCUCAGUUGGUAGAGCACCUGACUGUUAAUCAGGUUGUCGCCGGUUCGAGCCCGGCAGUCGGAGUC
rnacentral:tRNA from 1 species